rnacentral:rRNA from 1 species
UACGUAGGGGCAAGCGUUGUCCGGAUUUAUUGGGCGUAAAGAGCUCGUAGGCGGUUUGGUAAGUCGGGUGUGAAAUCUCCACGCUCAACGUGGAGGGCCACUCGAUACUGCCAUGACUGGAGUCCGGUAGAGGAGUGUGGAAUUCCGGUGUAGCGGUGAAAUGCGCAGAUAUCGGGAGGAACACCCGUAGCGAAGGCGGCAC